rnacentral:rRNA from 1 species
UACGUAGGGUGCGAGCGUUGUCCGGAAUUAUUGGGCGUAAAGAGCUUGUAGGCGGUUUGUCGCGUCUGCCGUGAAAAUCCGGGGCUCAACCCCGGACUUGCGGUGGGUACGGGCAGACUAGAGUGUGGUAGGGGAGACUGGAAUUCCUGGUGUAGCGGUGAAAUGCGCAGAUAUCAGGAGGAACACCGGUGGCGAAGGCGGGUCCCUGGGCCGAUACUGACGCUGAGGAGCGAAAGCGUGGGGAGCGAACAGG